rnacentral:rRNA from 1 species
GACGAACGCUGGCGGCGUGCUUAACACAUGCAAGUCGAACGGAAAGGCCCUGCUUUUGUGGGGUGCUCGAGUGGCGAACGGGUGAGUAACACGUGAGUAACCUGCCCUUGACUUUGGGAUAACUUCAGGAAACUGGGGCUAAUACCGGAUAGGAGCUCCUGCUGCAUGGUGGGGGUUGGAACGUUUCGGCGGUUGGGGAUGGACUCGCGGCUUAUCAGCUUGUUGGUGGGGUAGUGGCUUACCAAGGCUUUGACGGGUAGCCGGCCUGAGAGGGUGACCGGCCACAUUGGGACUGAGAUACGGCCCAGACUCCUACGGGAGGCAGCAGUGGGGAAUAUUGCACAAUGGGCGGAAGCCUGAUGCAGCAACGCCGCGUGCGGGAUGACGGCCUUCGGGUUGUAAACCGCUUUCGCCUGUGAUGAAGCGUGAGUGACGGUAAUGGGUAAAGAAGCACCGGCUAACUACGUG